rnacentral:misc_RNA from 1 species
ACGGGGAUGUCAGUGCCAAGUCCACGUUGAGUCCCAAAUUGAAGUCGAUCAUUUUUUGCUUCCUAUGCAGUGUCAUACACCGCAUGCGAACAACCAAAGUUGUAGACAUAACUGAAGGUAUACUUCAGGAGUGGUGGGCAUGCUUAAAAUUUGUGCAGCUUGCAGGGUUCAGAAUUCAGUUCAUUAUUGAUCAUCUGAAGCGAGUUGUACGUGCCCACUUUGUUCUUCAGGCGAGAAAGUACACAGAUCACACCUCUGUUGAGAAAAAUCAAGAAAUAGAACAAAUUUCCAAGGAUAUAAAGGAACUAACGUCAAAGUUAGAAGCAACCAAGGAACAACAAGAGCAUGACAAAUCGCUUGCACAUGCUGCAACUGCAAGCUUGAUGAAGCAAUUCCUUAGGGACGCUUCGGUAAUGAAGUGGAAGCCUGCAGCUCAUGGUCUGCUAUAAUGCAAAAAAGAGGUCCUAGGUACGCUGCUAAUAAUGGGUGCAUUCUUCUCAUGCUGCCAUAAUAAGAAAGUUCCCAUUUUGAACCAUAACUAAUUCUGAGCGUUCAAGAUUUGUCUUAGAACCCUAAGUGAGCAAAAUCAUGAACUGAACUUGCGCAGCUGCAUAUUUCUGCUAUAAUAGUUGAUGCAAUCAUAUGACCAAACUAAACUUUAAGUUCUAGUUUAAAGAAAGUUUAGUGGUAGGAUAGGAAGCCUUUUGUACUAUUGCUGUCAAUAUAUAGCUUUUUUUU